AUUGUACGCUGGCGGAAUGCUUUACACAUGCAAGUCGAACGGCAGCACGGGGGCAACCUUGGUGGCGAGUGGCGAACGGGUGAGUAAUAUAUCGGAACGUGCCCUAGAGUGGGGGAUAAUGUAGCGAAAGUUACGCUAAUACCGCAUACGAUCUACGGAUGAAAGUGGGGGACCGCAAGGCCUCAUGCUCGUGGAGCGGCCGAUAUCUGAUUAGCUAGUUGGUGGGGUAAAGGCCUACCAAGGCGACGAUCAGUAGCUGGUCUGAGAGGACGACCAGCCACACUGGGACUGAGACACGGCCCAGACUCCUAUGGGAGGCAGCAGUGGGGAAUUUUAGACAAUGGGGGCAACCCUGAUCCAGCAAUGCCGCGUGAGUGAAGAAGGCCUUCGGGUUGUAAAGCUCUUUUGUCAGGGAAGAAACGGUGAGGGCUAAUAUCCUUUGCUAAUGACGGUACCUGAAGAAUAAGCACCGGCUAACUACGUGCCAGCAGCCGCCGUAA
rnacentral:rRNA from 1 species